rnacentral:rRNA from 1 species
AUUGAACGCUGGCGGAAUGCUUUACACAUGCAAGUCGAACGGCAGCACGGACUUCGGUCUGGUGGCGAGUGGCGAACGGGUGAGUAAUGUAUCGGAACGUGCCCAGUCGUGGGGGAUAACGUAGUGAAAAUUACGCUAAUACCGCAUACGAUCUAUGGAUGAAAGCGGGGGAUCGCAAGACCCCGCGCGAUUGGAGCGGCCGAUAUAAGAUUAGGUAGUUGGGGGGGUAAAGGCCCACCAAGCCAACGAUUCGUAGGUGGUCUGAGAGGACGACCAGCCACACUGGAACUGAGAACCGGUCCAGACUCCUACUGGAGGCAGCAGUGGGGAAUUUUUGACAAUGGGCGAAAGCCUGAUCCAGCCAUUCCGCGUGCAGGAUGAAGGCCCUCGGGUUGUAAACUGCUUUUGUACAGAACGAAAAGGUUUCUACUAAUACUAGGAGCUCAUGACGGUACUGUAAGAAUAAGCACCGGCUAACUACGUGCCAGCCGCCGCAGUAA